rnacentral:lncRNA from 1 species
GUGAUUUGUGUAACAUCCCAAGACCUCCCCUUGUCCACAUGGAUCGUGGGCUGGGUGAGCUUUGAUACCAUUUGUAAAGACUCUAGACCUCAUUGAAAAGGCUAGCCAGAAAUUGUAAUCUAGGAUCCUCGGUCUUGUUUAAAUAUUCAAGAUCAUCCUAGCACAUAAAUAAUAUGGGACCAAAUGCAUGCUCGCAUAAAUCCUCAGCAUUCUCCCCAAUUUAGUGCCCCCUAGUCCACGUAGGUUAUGAACUGGGUCAACUCUGAUACCAUUUGUGUUUGCUCUGAUGCUAUUUAUAAUAACUUAGGACCUCACCCAAAAUAACUAGCCUAUCUACUCAUUUCCUUGUUAGCGAGUAGGUGGCAGCUAAAUUGAGCCUCAUGUCUCUUGUAACCUAGGAUCCUUGGCCCUAUUUAAGUACUCAAGAUCUCUCGAUGUAUAAUUUAUAUGGGACUAAACACAUAGCUACAAGAGUCAUCACUCUCCCUGAUUAAGCCCUAUCAUUCUUGCCAAACAAGGGUCUAAUCAGAAAUACCAUCACAAACACCACAACAAGAUCAUGGUCAACCUCACAAGGGCUGAUGAUAUAGUUUUUUUCUAGUCCAUAUGAGUCAUGGACUGGGACAACUGUGAUACCAUUUGUAACAAUCUAGAACCUCAUCCC